AGCUUGAAGCUUUUAUUUUAAGUGUUUUCUGCUCAAUGAUUAAUUUAAAUAGCCGCAGUACACUGACUGUGCAAAGGUAGCAUAAUAAUUUGGCUUAUAAUUGAAGUCUAGUAUGAAUGAAUUUAUGGGAUUAAACUGUCUUUAAUUUACUUAAUAAAAACUCCUAAAUAAGUGCAAAAUCUUAUUCAAUUAAAAUAGACGAGAAGACCCUAGAAAUUUKUUACAUAAAUGUACUUAUACAUGAUUAUUUUAUUGGGGCAAUAGAAUAACAAAUAAUUUAUUUUAUUAACAAGUAUUUUAUAAUAAGUUAGCUUAAAUUACUCUAGGGAUAACAGCGUAAUAUUAUAAUGUUUGUGACCUCGAUGUUGGACUAGGGUAGAUAUUAAGCAGAAGUUAAUAAUCUAUGCUCUGUUCGAGCUUAAUUCCCUACAUG
rnacentral:rRNA from 1 species